rnacentral:rRNA from 1 species
UACGUAGGGGGCAAGCGUUGUCCGGAUUUAUUGGGCGUAAAGAGCGUGUAGGCGGCUGGGUAGGUCCGCUGUGAAAACUCGAGGCUUAACCUCGAGACGUCGGUGGAAACCAUCCAGCUAGAGUCCGGAAGAGGAGAGUGGAAUUCCUGGUGUAGCGGUGAAAUGCGCAGAUAUCAGGAAGAACACCCGUGGCGAAAGCGGCUCUCUGGGACGGUACUGACGCUGAGGCGCGAAAGCGUGGGGAGCGAACAGG